UAGUCCACGCCGUAAACGAUGAGUACUAGCUAUUGGGGGUAUUGACUCCCUCAGUGGCGCAGCUAACGCAUUAAGUACUCCGCCUGGGAAGUACGGUCGCAAGACUAAAACUCAAAGGAAUUGACGGGGGCCCGUACAAGCGGUGGAGCAUGUGGUUUAAUUCGAUGCAACGCGAAGAACCUUACCAGGGUUAGACAUGUUUGUGAUUUUCUUCGAAAAAAGAACAUCUCUUUUAGAGCACAUACAACGGUGGUGCAUGGCUGUCGUCAGCUCGUGUCGUGAGAUGUUGGGUUAACGUCCCGCAACGAGCGCAACCCUUUAUUUCUAGUUGCCUAUUUGGAACUCUAAGAAAGACUGUCGGUUAUAAACCGGAGGAAGGCGGGGAUGACGUCAAGUCAGCAUCGCCCCUUUAUCGCCCGUGGGCUACACACGUGCUACAAUGGACAAGACAAUGAGUUACAAAUCUGCGAAGAUAAGUUAAUCUAUAAACUCGUUCUAAGUUCGGAUUGUAGCUGCAACUCG
rnacentral:rRNA from 1 species